UAGACCUGAGUUUAAUCGCCAUAUUUUCAAAAAAACACCGACGAACAGACAAUUUGUUCGUCGGUGUUUUUUUAAAUUUUUUUUUGUUCUUUUCUUUGCACUCCCCAAGUUACUCCUAUGAUAGCGAUUCUAAAUUGUGGCGACAAAAAGCUGCACUGUUAUACAAUUAACCGUACCAAAAAGGCCGGUUCAGCAAUAGGUUUCAGUUUCCUCCUUAAUAAUCAUGUGUAUUAAUGUAAAAAUGUUGGUUGUUAACCUGUUUUCUGCUGUAAAUAAAUUAUACAAUACAAUACAAUUGUCAUAUUUUAAUCUAAAUCAAAUUACUAUACAUCUUAAGAACAUUUCCUAGGAUAUUUUUUUACUGUACAUAAUUUAUUUGCAUUUUUGAUA
rnacentral:misc_RNA from 1 species